rnacentral:rRNA from 1 species
GACGUAGGGCGCGAGCGUUGUCCGGAUUUAUUGGGCGUAAAGAGCUCGUAGGCGGCUUGUCGCGUCGACUGUGAAAACCCGCGGCUCAACUGCGGGCCUGCAGUCGAUACGGGCAGGCUAGAGUUCGGUAGGGGAGACUGGAAUUCCUGGUGUAGCGGUGAAAUGCGCAGAUAUCAGGAGGAACACCAACGGCGAAGGCAGCCCGCUGGGACGGUACUGACGCUAAGGCGCGAAAGCGUGGGGAGCGAACAGG